CGAUCAGUAGGGGUUCUGAGAGGAAGGUCCCCCACAUUGGAACUGAGACACGGUCCAAACUCCUACGGGAGGCAGCAGUGAGGAAUAUUGGUCAAUGGGCGAGAGCCUGAACCAGCCAAGUAGCGUGCAGGAAGACGGCCCUAUGGGUUGUAAACUGCUUUUAUAAGGGAAUAAAGUGAGUCUCGUGAGACUUUUUGCAUGUACCUUAUGAAUAAGGACCGGCUAAUUCCGUGCCAGCAGCCGCUGUAAUACGGAAGGUCCGGGCGUUAUCCGGAUUUAUUGGGUUUAAAGGGAGCGUAGGCCGGAGAUUAAGCGUGUUGUGAAAUGUAGACGCUCAACGUCUGCACUGCAGCGCGAACUGGUUUCCUUGAGUACGCACAAAGUGGGCGGAAUUCGUGGUGUAGCGGUGAAAUGCUUAGAUAUCACGAAGGACUCCGAUUGCGAAGGCAGCUCACUGGAGCGCAACUGACGCUGAAGCUCGAAAGUGCGGGUAUCGAACAGGAUUAGAUACCCUGGUAGUCCGCACGGUAAACGAUGGAUGCCCGCUGUUGGUCUGAACAGGUCAGCGGCCAAGCGAAAGCAUUAAGCAUCCCACCUGGGGAGUACGCCGGCAACGGUGAAACUCAAAGGAAUUGACGGGGGCCCGCACAAGCGGAGGAACAUGUGGUUUAAUUCGAUGAUACGCGAGGAACCUUACCCGGGCUUGAAUUGCAGAGGAAGGAUUUGGAGACAAUGACGCCCUUCGGGGUCUCUGUGAAGGUGCUGCAUGGUUGUCGUCAGCUCGUGCCGUGAGGUGUCGGCUUAAGUGCCAUAACGAGCGCAACCCCUCUCCUUAGUUGCCAUCAGGUUAAGCUGGGCACUCUGGGGACACUGCCACCGUAAGGUGUGAGGAAGGUGGGGAUGACGUCAAAUCAGCACGGCCCUUACGUCCGGGGCUACACACGUGUUACAAUGGCAGGUACAGAGAGACGGUCCCUUGCAAAACGGAUCAAAUCCUUAAAGCCUGUCUCAGUUCGGACUGGGGUCUGCAACCCGACCCCACGAAGCUGGAUUCGCUAGUAAUCGCGCAUCAGCCAUGGCGCGGUGAAUACGUUCCCGGGCCUUGUACACACCGCCCGUCAAGCCGUGAAAGCCGGGGGCGCCUAAAGUCCGUGACCGUAAGGGGCGGCCUAGGGCGAAACUGGUAAUUGGGGCUAAGUCGUAACAAGGUA
rnacentral:rRNA from 1 species